GACGAACGCUGGCGGCGUGCUUAACACAUGCAAGUCGAACGGAAAGGCCCUGCUUGCAGGGUACUCGAGUGGCGAACGGGUGAGUAACACGUGGGUGAUCUGCCCUGCACUUCGGGAUAAGCCUGGGAAACUGGGUCUAAUACCGGAUAUGACCUUCCAUGUAGUGUGGGGGGCGGAAAGAUUUAUCGGUGUGGGAUGAGCUCGCGGCCUAUCAGCUUGUUGGUGGGGUAAUGGCCUACCAAGGCGUCGACAGGUAGCCGGCCUGAGAGGGUGGACGGCCACAUUGGGACUGAGAUACGGCCCAGACUCCUACGGGAGGCAGCAGUGGGGAAUAUUGCACAAUGGGCGGAAGCCUUAUGCAGCGACGCCGCGUGGGGGAUAACGGCCAUCGGGUUGUAAACCUCUUUCGACAGGGACGAAGCUUCGGUGACGGUACCUGUAGAAGAAGCACCGGCUAACUACGUG
rnacentral:rRNA from 1 species